CACGUAGGGCGCGAGCGUUGUCCGGAAUUAUUGGGCGUAAAGAGCUCGUAGGCGGCCUGUUGCGUCCGCUGUGAAAGCCCGGGGCUUAACCCCGGGUCUGCAGUGGAUACGGGCAGGCUAGAGGUAGGUAGGGGAGAAUGGAAUUCCUGGUGUAGCGGUGAAAUGCGCAGAUAACAGGAGGAACACCGAUGGCGAAGGCAGGUCUCUGGGCCACUACUGACGCUGAGAAGCGAAAGCAUGGGGAGCGAACAGG
rnacentral:rRNA from 1 species